rnacentral:rRNA from 1 species
CCUACGGGAGGCAGCAGUGGGGAAUUUUGGACAAUGGGCGCAAGCCUGAUCCAGCAAUGCCGCGUGAGUGAAGAAGGCCUUCGGGUUGUAAAGCUCUUUUGUCAGGGAAGAAACGGUGGAGGCUAAUAUCUUUUGCUAAUGACGGUACCUGAAGAAUAAGCACCGGCUAACUACGUGCCAGCAGCCGCGGUAAUACGUAGGGUGCAAGCGUUAAUCGGAAUUACUGGGCGUAAAGCGUGCGCAGGCGGUUUUGUAAGUUUGUCGUGAAAUCCCCGGGCUCAACCUGGGAAUGGCGAUGAAGACUGCAAGGCUAGAAUCUGGCAGGAGGGGGGUAGAAUUCCACGUGUAGCAGUGAAAUGCGUAGAGAUGUGGAGGAACACCGAUGGCGAAGGCACGCCCCCGUGGGUCAAGAUUGACGCUCAUGCACGAAAGCGGUGGGGAGACAAACAGGAUUAGAUACCCGUGGUAGUCCACGACCCUAAACGAUGUCUACUAGUUGUUCGGGUUUUAAUUAACUUAGGUAACGCAGCUAACGCGUGAAGUAGACCGCCGUGGGGAGUCGGUCGCAAGUAUUAAACUUACGAAAGGAAUUGACGGNGNGAGAGNGCGACGACGACGACGAGGAGGAGG